rnacentral:SRP_RNA from 1 species
CUCCGGGUCUUACGCAAUAAGUGUCUGUGAACCGUGUCAGGUUGGGAACAAAGCAGCACUAAGCAGAAUUACUUAUGUGCCGUAAGGUCGCCUGGAAGAU